rnacentral:piRNA from 1 species
UAGUCCUAUAAUGUGCCAGCUUUAUA